rnacentral:rRNA from 1 species
UACGGAGGGUGCAAGCGUUGUCCGGAAUCACUGGGCGUAAAGGGCGCGUAGGCGGCUCAUGAAGGCUGUGGUGAAAGUCCGGGGCUCAACCUCGGAUCGGCCGUGGCGACUCGUGGGCUGGAGCACUGUAGAGGCGGGUGGAAUUCCGGGUGUAGCGGUGGAAUGCGUAGAGAUCCGGAAGAACACCAGUGGCGAAGGCGGCCCGCUGGGCAGUGGCUGACGCUGAGGUGCGAAAGCCAGGGGAGCGAACGGG